UCCUAAGGAGCGGAGGAAGGCGGAGGUGUUAGAGGGAAUCUUGGAGCAGAUGGAGGUCGGGGAGGAAGACGUGGAGUGAAUAGCAGCCGUCAGUCAGCUCCAGCAUCAAUAAGAGAACCAACUCUGGCUGAAGGUGAGCUCGGAUGACAGGGUCCUUUUGAAAAGAUUCCUAAAGGCCACGUUUGCUUUAGCUGUUUUUGUAAUCGUCACAGAGGGCGACAUGGCUGACAUUGAAGAAUCACGAUAGUGAUCAACCAAAAUAUCAACUGGAAAUGUUUCCUUUAACAUCAUUUUAUGAUGUAAAAUGUCUAUUGUAGUCUGUUCCUGACUUAUAAUGUAUAAUGUAAAAUCUAUUAUAUAUAUUUAUAUAACAGUCCAGUGUGUCUUCUCAGUCUAUUCAAGAAAUGACAAUUGCUUUUAGAUUUUUGGGAUCAUACUGUAUUUAUUCAUGUGACAAUAAAUUAUUGUGUCUGAAAAUGUUCCUAUCUUAGGAUAAGUAAUUACACUUGAAACCUCAUUUUGUAAAAUGUGCUAUUUGUACAGUCGAGGUCACAACAGUCUUGGUCUACACAGAAGAUGCCUUGCAAACUACAUAGCGGGCAUUCUAGUGUACUGCAUCUGCAUGACAUCAUCAUGUGAUUUCAAAUCAACCAGUAAUAUUAUCUGUUUUGAAAUUUCUAAUUUGCUUUCUCAUUUGUUUUCUGUUUUAUUAAAGGGUUUGUUUAUUCAGAAA